rnacentral:misc_RNA from 1 species
CAAAACAUACCAGCCUGGUCCUCUCUUCCCAGAUCAGGGGUUCCUGCCUGUUGAAGCUUCCAUUUUAGAAGUGGAGGCGUGGGGAUUUGGCGGCUCUACGGCUAAGGAAAUUCAAAAUUCGUACAAAAAGAGAGAGGAACUUUUCACUGAGCAAAGAAGAAAGGUUGAUCUGAAAACAUUUGCCAGUUGGGAAGAUUCACCUGAGAAGAUGAUGCUAGACAUGAUGUCGGACCCAAAUGCUGUCCGACGAGAAG